rnacentral:tRNA from 1 species
UAGGAGGUAGUUUAAUUAAGAAUUGUUGACUGUUGAUCAAAAGGUUUUCUCUUAAU